rnacentral:rRNA from 1 species
UACGUAGGGUCCGAGCGUUGUCCGGAAUUAUUGGGCGUAAAGGGCUCGUAGGCGGUUUGUCGCGUCGGGAGUGAAAACACCGGGCUUAACUCGGUGCUUGCUUUCGAUACGGGCAGACUGGAGGUAUGCAGGGGAGAACGGAAUUCCUGGUGUAGCGGUGAAAUGCGCAGAUAUCAGGAGGAACACCGGUGGCGAAGGCGGUUCUCUGGGCAUGACCUGACGCUGAGGAGCGAAAGUGUGGGGAGCGAACAGGAUUAGAAACCCCCGUAGUCC